GGUGCUGAUCCUAUGAAGAAAGAAAGAAAUGAUAGCCAAGCAACUGGGAAAGAAGUAGAUUCAAAACCUGGCACUCUACAUCAGGCAACUGUUUCAGGAAGAUGUCUACCAACCUGUAUCUGGAACCUACAGCUCAUGUGAAAGUGGUGGGACACACAGCUACUGAGCUCCUCGUAAGUUGUGAUCCUGUUACAAAGAUCAACAGACAUAUAAGCUGGGAAGCGGAGCAGGAAGCAUCAACAGAAGGCAUG